GUGCUUGUGUCAGCAGCACACAUAGUAAUAUUGGAACAAUACAGAGAGGAUUAACAUGGCCCCUGAGCAAGGAUGACAUGGAAAUUCAUGAAGCUUUCCAUGUUUUU